GAUGAACGCUGGCGGCGUGCCUAAUACAUGCAAGUCGAGCGAACAGACGAGGAGCUUGCUCCUCUGACGUUAGCGGCGGACGGGUGAGUAACACGUGGAUAACCUACCUAUAAGACUGGGAUAACUUCGGGAAACCGGAGCUAAUACCGGAUAACAUGUUGAACCGCAUGGUUCAACAGUGAAAGACGGUUUUGCUGUCACUUAUAGAUGGAUCCGCGUCGCAUUAGCUAGUUGGUAAGGUAACGGCUUACCAAGGCAACGAUGCGUAGCCGACCUGAGAGGGUGAUCGGCCACACUGGAACUGAGACACGGUCCAGACUCCUACGGGAGGCAGCAGUAGGGAAUCUUCCGCAAUGGGCGAAAGCCUGACGGAGCAACGCCGCGUGAGUGAAGAAGGUCUUCGGAUCGUAAAACUCUGUUAUUAGGGAAGAACAAAUGUGUAAGUAACCAUGCACGUCUUGACGGUACCUAAUCAGAAAGCCACGGCUAACUACGUG
rnacentral:rRNA from 1 species